rnacentral:misc_RNA from 1 species
GAUGAAGAACGUAGCGAAAUGCGAUAAGUAAUGUGAAUUGCAGAAUUCAGUGAAUCAUCGAAUCUUUGAACGCACAUUGCGCCCUCUGGUAUUCCGGGGGGCAUGCCUGUUCGAGCGUCAUUACAACCCUCAAGCUUUGCUUGGUAUUGGACAUUGCCAGUUUCUGGCAGGUCUUAAAAUCAGUGGCGGUGCCAUUUGGCUUCAAGCGUAGUAAUUCUUCUCGCUUUGGAGAUCCAAGUGGUUACUUGCCAAUAACCCCCGUUUUUUUCAGGUUGACCUCGGAUCAGGUAGGGAUACCCGCUGAACUUAAGCAUAUCAAUAAGCGGAGGA